GUAAAAAAAUUUCCAGUUCACAUUGAGAACGUUUUUUUCACAUUUGUUUUAUGAAAACACUCCGAAUGCCGUUGCUAAAGAUCAUUACUAAAUAAAAAUGAAAAACUUCGAUCAUCUCGUGUUGAAGGCGAACCAAAAGAAAUGGGUAGGUUCAACAUCAUCUCGUGUUCAUGGCUGUGUCGUUCCCAUCGCCGAAGCCCAUCCCCGCCGCGCAUCGGUCAUCGAUCUUCACCGCCGUUUCUGAGCCACCGCGACACCACCAACCCUCGCCGGUGUUGAAGGCGAACCCAAACUCCGACUGGCAACGGUGAGAGCGACUGGAGACGGUGGCCACAAAAUCGACGCUGGUCAUGACCUAAUCGAUGCACUCACGCAUCAAAUCUCGAAGCUCCAUUCUUCUUCUCGAAGCUCCAUAAUCGCUGCCUCUGCGAUGAUGAAAUCGGAAGGAUUCGGUUUCAAAGAACUUUGGUUUUCGGAAGAAGAGUGAUUGAUUCGUUUUGUGUCGACUUAAUUUUGAUUUUGUUCAUUUUCAGGUUGUUCUGUAUGGAGAUCUCUCUCGCGCCCUUGUGAUCCUCCUUCCUCUGCUCUUCAUCUAUGGCGGUGUCUGCUUCUACCUCCCUGGCUUAGUGCCGCAAGAUUUCCAAAAGGAUGUGGGAACCACCUGAAUCUAAUGGGAUGCUUUCAAAAACGCUAGCAUGAACAAGAACUGUAAACAGAAUCAUGGAACUCCCAGAAGAUAGUAAGGCAGUAGCCAAGCACACAGAUAGUCCCAAUCAUCAGGCAUUUGAAUGAAGAUGUGCUUCUUUCAGAGGCUGUGCAGGAUUUGGUGUCCAAGGACACUGCCAAUAGUUCUUCUUAACUCUAAAAGGGCUGGAGUCAAGUUUUCCUUCUUCAAGAUUGCUUGUCUGGUAGCAAAAUGAUGAUGGCAAGAUGAUGCUACACUUUGAUGGUGGAAUUUGUUGGUUUGAAUGCUGUUUUAAUUUGGCCAAAAAUAUUGUCGAUCAUUAGAACAAUUUGCAUCUUGUAGUUUGGAUCUUUAGUUUAUUAAUUUGGAUUCUAAUGUAUUAAUGUUGAUGGAUUAUUACGUGGAUUCAAAGAUGAUAAUGAUUGACAAUAUCUUUUUUGUAUUCUAUUAGCAAGUAUAAUUGUUAUUAACAUUUAA